ensembl:lncRNA
AUCUCUUACCAACUGAAUCCUCCCUCCAUCCUCCCCCGCAGUGUUUGUUGCAAUCAGCUGCAUUAGAAGUAUAUCAUUUUCAGUGUCUUAAAACAAGCAAGCCAAAAUCCUUGGUACAAGGAAGUAAAGGGGAAAAACAACAGGUCACUGUAUCUGCCCAUAUCUUUGUUUAUCUGCUGUGGUCACAGUGAAGAUAUUAAAGAUGCAGACCCAGUCAGUGCUGUUGGUGAAUGCAGUGUUUUAGCUUCAGAGUGAAGAAAGCUGCUCCAGGAUACUCUCUAGAUAGGAAUUAGCUGAGUUAUGGAACACACUAGCUCAGGCUAAGAAAAACGAGCAGAAAAAUGAGACUGGCAAAUGUACACAUCACCAUAAGAUAAGAUAACCGUUCUCAUUUGCUCGAUAACCUGGUAGUUACACCCUACAGAGAGCACUGCUUUCGGGAGCAGUUUCUGUGUACUCAGUGAGCAGGAUGUGAAGCAGCCAUUCAGUUCACUCUGAAUGUAUGUGCAGUGUCACCUGCAUGUAUGACCACUUGGAGGUAAUGCUAUAACAGCAGCGUUGACAAGCUGCGCCAGCGACACAUACACACACCAGAUGGCUGUGCUACUGUUCAACAGGACCUGGACAGACCUGUGAGUUGGGCAGAGAGAAACCUGAUGAGCUUCAGCAAGAACAAGCACGGGAUCCCGUACCUGGGAAGAAAUAACUGCAUGUAUCAGUACAGAUGAGGGGCUGACCUGCUGGAAAGGAGCUCUGUGGGGAAGGACUUAAGUGUUCUAGUGGACAACAGUUUGGCCUUCAGCCAGCAGUGUGCCACUCUGAGGUACUGUGGCUCCCCAGUUCGAGAACGAGAGGAAGAGAGGGAACUUCUUGAGAGAAUCCAGCAGAGGCCUGCAAAGAAGAUGAGGGGCCUGGAGCAUCUACACUAUUGAGGAAAGGCUGAGAGACCUGGGGCUGUUCAGCCUGGAGAAGAGUAGGAUGAGAGGGGAUCUCAUCACUAUUUAUAAAUACCUAAAAGGUGGGAGUCAAAUCAAUGAGGCCAGGCUCUUUUUGGUGAUGUGCAGUUACAGGACAAGGGAUAAUGGGCAAAAGCUGCAGUACAGGAAAUUCCAUACCAACACGAGGAAGAACUUCUGUACUGUGAGGGUGACAGAGCACUGGAACAGGCUGCCCAGAGAGGUUGUGGAGUCUCCUUCUCUAGAGGUAUUCAAAAUCCUCCCUGGAUGCUUUCCUGUGCAACCCACUGCAGGGAACCUGCUUUAGCAGGGAGUGUGCUAGUCCCCAGAGUUCCCUUCCAACCCCAGUGAUUCUGUGUGUGAUAUUGCCGUAGCUCCUUGUGUUAUAAGGAAAGACGCUAGUUUUCCAAGGCUUUGACAUACUUUAUUUGAGACUGUUUAUAACAAAUGAAUAAAAAUGAAAUUGACAGUGUCGCUCAUAUAUUACAAAUCAGUUAUCUGUACAGACGUAAAUGUGUGUGACUAUCUGAAGAUCUUAGGAAAUACACUUUCUGCUCUGUGGGUUGACUGAAUAUCAGUAAUGUGGAGAGAGAGAGUGAGACAGAAAGAGAGACAGAGACAGAGAAGUACUAGAGAUACAUGGAAGACUUAUGCUUUUGUAAGGACUUCAGUUUUCUUGCUUUCUCAAUACGCAGCUGUUGGUUUGUAACCACAUCAACCAACAGAAUCUCCUGACAGGGCUUGACUCAGAUAUUACUGUCGUUGAGUGAAACUACACAGGUUUUGCUAUCAAGCUAAAAAAAUCAGCUGCUUUAAUUACCAUUUAUUUCAUUUUUUUUCUAAUCUUUGUACUUUCCUUUAAAGGUCGUGAUGCAAAAAUUCCUGAAAAUGUGUAAAUGAUUCUGAAGUUUAAGAAGCUUUUGAAUCAGUUAACAGUUUCCAGUGUGCAAGUUGGGCUGAAAUAAGAUACCAGUCUUGAUUCUAAGAAGUUACCCAAGGAAUCCUAAAACAUGCAACAGAUGAGGUACCUAAGACAGACAUGGGCACGUGUUUUGUGUCAUACAUUAAAACAUAUGUGAAGUUCAAUUCCUGUCCACACCAGAGACAUUAGCUUUUGGCUAGUGCCAGAAAUGAUCAAGAAAACCGUUGUUUGGUUCCAAAAUUCUGAAAUGGGAAACAUCAUUUAUUUUCAGUAGAUGGGGGUAGUAAUGAGUGGUUCUCCUGCAAACACCUAAUUCUCUUGGCUGACUGCGGAUGGACUGUAGAAGGAUGAGCUCAGAUGUCAUAUUUUUGACCUCUACAUUGGGACAGAGCGAUCCCAUUCCUAAAGUCGUGCUGAACAUCCUGGGGAAGCAAGAACAAAUUUGAAGCUGAGCUGAGCGUAAAUCCUGGCAAGAACAAUUAUACCUGCAGGACAAGGACCACCUCUAAUGACAUGUUUAUAUAGUCCUUAGUACAGUGUUCGCUGUGACUACUAAGUAUUCCUGUAAUGGAAAUUAUAGCACGUCUCAUGAAGAAGGGGCUUCCAUGCAUAGGCCACUGAAGCAAAAAUGAAAAGGUAGUGCACAAGCAAAGGAGAUGGACAAUACAAAUGCUUCCACGCAGCCAAUUUGCCAUGAUGGAAGGCCCCCUGGGCUGUAUGAACCGUUCCCUUUUUUUGGAUGAUAUGUUGGUAGUCACGUCUCACAGCAAGCAAUCAGAGGUUUCUGGAGGAUGUGGAACUAGUUAGUUCCUUGUCCAUUAGUACGACUAUAAAAGCACAGCUCCAGUAUGGUACCAGUUGAUGAAACUGCAAAAUAGUAAAUUUAGAUUUCGUAAACAAAAAGCGUUUUCUAAGCAGAAUGCAUAAAAACAGAGACCUUUCUGGGGAGUGUUUCCUCUGAAGUAGCUGGUUUUGGUCACCAUCAGACAGGAAUCUCUAGACUGUAAAUCUGAUCAAAUACAGCAACUUCUGUGCUGCUCACUUACAUCCGUGAGAGUCUGCUGACUUCGGAGUGCACGCAGGGUUUGAUCUAAAGCACACCAUCCAUCUUCAUUGAAGAAGAAGUGUAUUCAUUCUGUGGAGGGGUGAAAAAUUGCCUAACAGGCAAGUUGGUUUGCAGGCCAACAGUUGACUUAUCAGUACUGUGGCACUAGUGUGCAAGACUCUGCAUUUAUUGCUGUGUUGUAUGCCUAAAUGUAUCCCAGGUUUUAAAAUUCAUGCACCUCUAGCUCUUCCUUGUAAUUUUCUUCUCGAAACUCAGAGCAAACUUCCUCUCCCAUCCUGACUGUUUAUAAGUAUGCAUAGAAACAAAUGUUUUGUAAAGAUGUGAGAGACAUUCUGCUUUAUUCCCAGGAGCAAAUAAAGCCUUUUAUUUUUAGCCUAGUUUCCUUAGGAAAUGAGACUGAUGCAAUCACAUUGUCUAUUUGUCAGUCUAUCAAACCAGCCCCCUUGCCUCCUUCCCUCCCCCCCAUCAUCUUCUGACCAUUAAUCUUUUUUAGCUGGACACGACCGAAAGGCAAAAGUAUUCCAGAAGUGUUAAAUGUGUGCACGUUUUAUGACAAUCUGUGGCUGGGACAGAGGAGAGACCUUAUCCAUUCCCUCCCUGGAGAAGUCAGCACUGGCUGAAUUCUGCUGAUAGGCAGUAGUAACUUGCUGGCAAGUCAAUUUCUGUGCAGCUGUAACUCUGCUGUGAUGCGUGUAAACUCCUCAAGUCACAAGGAUGGGAAGGGCUGGAAGAGAGGCAGCUGGGGUUGUUGGACUGUUGACUCAACCUCAAAGUGACUGAAUUCUGAGGUGAUGCUAUAGGGAGCUUCUCAGCGGUGGCUGAAGGAACAUGGUGGAAAAGAAAUGCAAAGCCAGUGCUAGAGAAGGGGUCAUCACAUCUCUGUUUUGGUUUUUCAUCCCAUUUGCUCCACUGUAAGGUAUGGUCCCGAGCAGUGUCUGCAUGUUUCUGUGUUGGAGGGAGAAUCAUAGAAUCAUAGAAUCGCUAAGGUUGGAAACGACCCACAGGAUCAUCCAGUCCAACCAUUCGCCCUUCACCAAUGGUUCUCACUAAACCAUGUCCCUCAACACAACAUCCAAACGCUCUUUGAACACCACCAGGGUCAGUGACUCCACCACCUCUCUGGGCAGCCCAUUCCAGUGCCUGACCACCCUUUCAGAGAAGUAGUAUUUCCUAACGUCCAGCCUGAACCUUCCCUGGCGCAGCUUGAAGCCAUUCCCUCUAGUCCUAAUGUAUG